AUUGAACGCUGACGGCAUGCCUAACACAUGCAAGUCGAACGAGUGGCGGACGGGUGAGUACUGUCUGGGAAACUGCCUGCUGGAGGGGGAUAACUACUGUAAACGUUAGCUAUUACCGCAUACCAUCAGAUGUGCCCAGAUGGGAGUAGCUGGUUGGUGGGGUAACGGUUCACCAAGGCGACGCUCCCUAGCUGGUCUGAGAGGAUGACCAGCCGCACUGGAAGUGAGACACGGUCCAUACUCCUACGGGAGGCAGCAGUGGGGAAUAUUGAACAAGCGGCGCAAGCCAGAUGCCGACAUGCCGCGUGUAUGAAGAAGGCCUUCGGGUUGUAAAGUACUUUCAGCGGGGAGGCGUUACCCGCAGAAGAAGCACCGGCUAACUCCGUGCCAGCCGCCGCGGUAAUAC
rnacentral:rRNA from 1 species